AUUGAACGCUGGCGGCAUGCCUUACACAUGCAAGUCGAACGGCGGCGCGGGAGCAAUCCUGGCGGCGAGUGGCGAACGGGUGAGUAAUACAUCGGAACGUGCCCAAUCGUGGGGGAUAACGCAGCGAAAGCUGUGCUAAUACCGCAUACGAUCUACGGAUGAAAGCAGGGGAUCGCAAGACCUUGCGCGAAUGGAGCGGCCGAUGGCAGAUUAGGUAGUUGGUGAGGUAAAGGCUCACCAAGCCUUCGAUCUGUAGCUGGUCUGAGAGGACGACCAGCCACACUGGGACUGAGACACGGCCCAGACUCCUACGGGAGGCAGCAGUGGGGAAUUUUGGACAAUGGGCGAAAGCCUGAUCCAGCCAUGCCGCGUGCAGGAUGAAGGCCUUCGGGUUGUAAACUGCUUUUGUACGGAACGAAACGGUCUUUUCUAAUAAAGAAGGCUAAUGACGGUACCGUAAGAAUAAGCACCGGCUAACUACGUG
rnacentral:rRNA from 1 species